GACCAUCCUGGCUGCCAAAGGAUUCCUGCAAUUCAUGGCACCAGGAGUCAGAGGUAUACUAUCCCAAGCUAAAUAAAUAUGUAAUAAAAUAAGUUAUGUGAUCUUUUAUAUUCAUUUUAGAGAGAGUUUGUAGCAUUUUCAUGAAUCCCAGUUAAUAUGGAAGAGAGGAUAGCAAUGAUCCAAUUUGAGAUAUCUGUAACAAUAAAGUUGAAUUUGAG
rnacentral:misc_RNA from 1 species